ACCCUCUCAGGAUAGUACCUAGAGAGUUUCCAGUACUCUACCAGUCUCGAUUACAGGAGGGGAGAGUUAAGCAGAGGCAUACCCAUUUCAUUCCUAGCUUGGCCAGUGGCUAGCAAGUGGAAGACAAUCUGCUACAAGU